rnacentral:rRNA from 1 species
UACGGGGGGUGCGAGCGUUGUCCGGAAUCACUGGGCGUAAAGGGCGCGUAGGUGGCGUGAUAAGGGUGUGGUGAAAGCCCGGGGCUCAACCCCGGGUCUGCCAUGCCGACUGUCAGGCUAGAGUACUGUAGGGGCAGGCGGAAUUCCGGGUGUAGCGGUGGAAUGCGUAGAGAUCCGGAGGAAUACCGAUGGCGAAGGCAGCCCCCUGGGAUAACACUGACGCUCAUGCACGAAAGCGUGGGGAGCAAACAGG